ACCCGCGUACAUGCCACCGGGGCAUCCCGGAGGCAGGAAAGGCUUCGGCCGGACAGGGAUGGGCAUGCGGCGCAUUAGGCAGUAGGCGGGGUAACGGCCCACCUAACCGACGAUGCGUAGGGGUUCUGAGAGGAAGGUCCCCCACACUGGUACUGAGACACGGACCAGACUCCUACGGGAGGCAGCAGUGAGGAAUAUUGGUCAAUGGUCGGGAGACUGAACCAGCCAAGCCGCGUGAGGGAGGAAGGUACAGAGUAUCGUAAACCUCUUUUGUCAGGGAACAAAGACUGGGACGCGUCCCCGGAUGAGUGUACCUGAAGAAAAAGCAUCGGCUAACUCCGUGCCAGCAGCCGCGGUAAUACGGAGGAUGCGAGCGUUAUCCGGAUUUAUUGGGUUUAAAGGGUGCGCAGGCGGUCUGUUAAGUCAGCGGUCAAAGCCCGGGGCUCAACCCCGGCCCGCCGUUGAAACUGGCAGUCUCGAGUUGGAGAGAAGUAUGCGGAAUGCGCGGUGUAGCGGUGAAAUGCAUAGAUAUCGCGCAGAACUCCGAUUGCGAAGGCAGCAUGCCGGCUCCACACUGACGCUGAGGCACGAAAGCGUGGGUAUCGAACAGGAUUAGAUACCCUGGUAGUCCACGCAGUAAACGA
rnacentral:rRNA from 1 species